GACCACGUAGCUCAGUUGGCAGAGCAUUGGGCUAGUAUUCCAAAGGUCAUAGGUUCGAAUCCCAUCGUGGCCA
rnacentral:tRNA from 1 species